GAAUACCCACGGGAGUGGGGUCCGCGCUCGCCCCUCGGCGGACGACCUUGAGAGUAGGUUUCGGAGGCGGAAUCUUCACAUCACCGCCCGUAACCAGGCGAGGAUCCUUCUUCUGAGCAGGAGGGAUAUACUUCGUCUUACGGGGGCCGGGGAAUGACAUGGCACCUGCAGUGGACGAGAGUAAAAUCAGCCAGGACGAAACAUAAACAUAACGAUACAAAACAAUAAAAUCGUACCAAACGCCACGUUAAUAAAAUCCUCGUGGCAUAGGCAUUCAACCAGCUUGCGGGCGGGGAGGCGACGGGGGAGAUCGUUAAUAAGCCUUACGGCUUCACGCUCAGACGAAGUCAGAUCACACGCCGGCACCGACUUUAUUUGGGCCGGCUCCUCAGUCCAGUAAAAAGGGAAUAGGGGUUCACCGGACGGAUCCACAAAUUCCUUCCGACUGCCCUCUUUUAUUAUUAUUUUGAAGAACUUGUGUUUAAAGUCCUUGAAAGAAUCCGCGUAGUUUUGAAACAAACCCUGUUGGAUGGACCUCAACGAUACCUAACCCCGCGCCGU
rnacentral:lncRNA from 1 species